rnacentral:rRNA from 1 species
AGGCGAAGGCGCGAGCCGGAGNGAACCCCAGAAACAACGUCCCAGUUCGGACUGCAGUCUGCAACCCGACUGCACGAAGCUGGAAUCGCUAGUAAUCGCGGAUCAGCAUGCCGCGGUGAAUACGUUCCCGGGUCUUGUACACACCGCCCGUCACACCAUGGGAGCCGGAAAUGCCCGAAGCCUGUGACCCAACCCGCAAGGGGGGGAGCAGUCGAAGGCGGGGCUGGUGACUGGGGUGAAGUCGUAACAAGGUAGC